AUGGCUGUUGCUCAAACAACAGUCAGCAAAUUACUGGAGCUAUUGUCAGUAUACUAAUGCCAAAGUACAUAUUAUUCCUGGGAACAGACUGCCAGGCAAAUUGUGGCUAGAAGCUAGAAGUGAAGCAUGGUUUGCCUGAUAUUCUUGGAGCCAUUGACUGCACCCUCCCUUACCAUUCCCAAAUGGGGUGCAAUACAAAAAUAGGAAAGGGAGAUCCACGAUAGAUGUUCAACUGGUAAAGACAAAUUAUUUAGAUCUAGAGUUUUCAAAAACUUAAACAAUCAAAACUCUAAUGGAGCAAAUGACAGUAAAUUUUGUAAAUACGAGCGAAGAACAACA